GCCCUCGUGGUGAAAUGGAUAUCACGCCAGUCUUCGGAACUGGAAUUGGGGGUUCGAAUCCUCCCGGGGGCA
rnacentral:tRNA from 1 species